UAUUGCGUAGUGAGUGGCGUACGCCUUCUUUUGUGCGUACGCAACGUUUAUAAAUGAGGCCCCAGGUGAGCACAUGAUAAUAGUUUGAUUUGUAUGUAUUUGGUUUUGGAUUAUGUGUUGUGGACUACAAAUAUGGCGGCCAAGAGACUUCCUGCCGGUGACUUCCGGUUACUCAGGUGUGUGGCUGAUGACAGCUAAUGAUAGCACAAAAGAGGGGAAGAUGGAGCCAAGCAAAGGGGAAGGAGAAACAAACUGGCUGGGGUGACGUUUGACUGCCGCUUGAAGGAUGGAUUAGCAACGGAUGGUUCUAUGGAUUAAACAAAGCUGAGGAAUAUACCGGAACUUUCUGCCACCCUUCCUAAGGUCUUCCUUCAUCAGAAAGUCUCACGAUUUCCAUCACAGCUGAUCCGGUGUCGGACGGUCCUAAAGCUGCCAUUCCUGACGAGUCUGCAGUCAAUCCUUCAGGGAGGGUACCAGGGAGGUCUCUUUAAAGACCUUCUAGGCAGAUGCAGUUUCCAGGUCACCCUCAUCGCUGCCAUGAAAAUCCUGUUGUUGCUGUUUUUAACAUAUUUUUGCAGCAUUUUUCCCAUGGAGGACAUGAAGAAAGGAAAAUUUAGAAUGAAACUGCAUUUCUGAGGAUUUCUUUAUUUUAAUUGUUGUGGGAAGAUGAAAACAUUCCUGAAAAAGAUCAUAUUUGUGACAGAAAAUACGG